CCUGUGAAAUCUGGCUUUGUGCAAGCUCCUGGCAAACAAUUUUUGUGAAAACUGGAUUCUCGAGAAUGUCAUUAAACUCUGCAGUAAUUUUGGGAGCUGUACUUUUGUGAUCCUUUCUAACAAUUCGAAUAACCAAAUAUAUAAAUGAA